GACGAACGCUGGCGGCGUGCUUAACACAUGCAAGUCGAACGGAAAGGCCUGCUUUCCCUUGUAGAUUGCGGGUACUCGAGUGGCGAACGGGUGAGUAACACGUGAGUGAUCUGCCCCCAACUUGGGUAUAAGCCUGGGAAACUGGGUCUAAUUCCCGAUAGGACUGCAGGGUGGUGCCUGUGUUGGAAAACGAUUUUCUAGUGGUUGGGGUUGAGCUCGCGGCCUAUCAGCUUGUUGGUGGGGUAAUGGCCUACCAAGGCGGCGACGGGUAGCCGGCCUGGGAGGGUGGACGGCGACAUUGGGACUGAGAUACGGCCCAGAGUCAUACGGGAGGCAGCAGUGGGGAAUAGUGCACAAUGGGCGGAAGCCUGAUGCAGCGACGCCGCGUGGGGGAUGCCGGCCUUCGGGUUGUAAACUCCUUUCGAAAGCGAGUAAGCCACCUGGUUGGAAGGGUGGUGACGGUAGUGGUAGAAGAAGCACCGGCUAACUACGUG
rnacentral:rRNA from 1 species